rnacentral:snRNA from 8 species
UUCUCGGCCUUUUGGCUCAGAUCAAGUGUAGUAUCUGUUCUUAUCAGUUUAAUAUCUGAUACGUCCCCCAUCGGGGGACUACAUAUUAAAUGGAUUUUUCGAACAGGGAGUCGGAAAUGGGGCUUGCUCCGUCCGCUCCACGCAUCGACCCGGUAUUGCAGUACCUCCGGGAAUGGUGCAACACUU